ensembl:lncRNA
AUGGCGGAGAACGUACGGUCGCCUUUCGACUACCGGGAGCCGCCGACCCUCGACAGCGACGGGGACGGGAGCAAACCUCCGCCGCCACGGGGACGCGUAUGUGGAAGAAAACGGAAGGGCACUCCUGUGAAGGUGUGUGAUCGCGCCUACGUGACCGAAGAUGAAGAGGAAGAGAGCAUGUCUGAGCACAGCUACAGCCCUGGGGAUGGCCAGUACCCAGAGGGGGCAGAGGACCGCCUCCCGCCGCCGGGAAGCCCCUACUACCUGGCCGACCCGUCCCAGCUAUGCGUGCCCGAGCUUGGCGAGGACGGCUCCAGCGGCGUGCGCGGCCCCGUGCUCUUCCACCCGCCGCCCAACUGCCGCAUCCGGGAGGUGCACUGCGGGAGCCAGGUGCGGCUGGUCGUCAUAGCGAUCCGGGACAUCGCCAAGGGCGAGGAGAUCACGGUGGACUACAGCCUCACGGACUGGGGCGAGAACGCCAUGGAGGAAGAGGCAGGGCCACACCCUCUCUCCCUCUCGGUCUCGGAUUACCUCACCCCCUCCUGGUCGCUCUCCCCCUCCUCCUCCCCCCUCACGCACUCUGAGCCCAGCGACUCGGACCGCGAGGAGGAGGAGGAAGAGGAGGAGGAGGAGGAAGACGACGACGAUGACGACGACGAGGAAGAGGACCUGGAGGAGAUGCGCGGCCGCAUGCUCCGGCGCCGCAAGAAGCGCAAGAUGGCCGCCGCCGCCGUCAACCCCAAGAAGAAGAGCUCCGCCCCGCCGCCCCCCACACCGGCGGCGGCGGCGGCGGCCACCUCGUCCCGCGGGCCCGGCCGCCCCUGCUCCUCGUUCCCGCGGCCCUCGGCGGCCCCGCCCCCCCGCUCCCAGUCGCAGCCGCCGCCGCCGGUGAGCGCGCUGGCCCCGCCCACCACCAACAUCAACAACAACAUCAACAUCAACAUCGGGGGGGCGUCGGGCGUGGCGGCGGCGGCGGCGGCAGGGAGCCGGCGGCAGCACUGCCCGUACUGCGGGCGCCACUAUCGCUCGCUGGCACGCCACCUGGAGAAGCACCACGCGGGGCAGCCCGAGGUGCGCGCCGCCAUGGAGCUAGCGCACCUGCACGCUAACGGCGGCGGCGGCUCGCACGCGCGCGCCGCCUCCUCCUCCACCUCCUCCGCGUCGGCCCCCUGCGCCGCCGCCGCCGCGCCGCACGGCCACUCCUUCGCCGUCCCGCAGCCCUCGUCCUCCUCCAACCCCACCCCGCCGCCGCUCUUCUCCUCCUCCUCCUCCUCCUCCUCCUCCCGGGAGCGGGAGUCGCCCGCCACGCGCUCGGCCGGCCCCGCCGUCUCCUUCUCGCUCUCCCUGUCGCCGCCGUCCCUGGCCCCGCCCGCCGCCGCCGCCGCCGCCGGCAGCAGGAAGGGCGGCGGGCCGACGGCGCCGGCCGCCAAGCGCGGCGCCGGCGCCUGUCAGGCGGCGUCCCGGGUCAAGAGCCCCUCGCCACCGCCGCCCCCGGCCGCCCCGCCGCCGCAGGUGGCCCCGCCCCCUCCGGCGCCGGCCUCCUCGCCGCCCGCCCCCCGGAGGGGCCAGAGGAUGAAGAGGGAGAAGCAGGAGGAGCAGCAGAAGGUGGAGAAGGAGGAGCUGGCGCCCCCGCCCACGCCGGAGCCCCACCUGGACCAGGAGGAGGAGCUAGAGCUGAGCGCCGAGGGCGAGGAGGAGGAGGAGGACGCGCCGGAGGAGACCAACGGAGAGCUGCUCAGAAUGUGUUUUAACUUCUGAUGCCGUCGCCAUGGUCCCCAAACAUCCUUCUUGAUUUGUGGUUGGUGAGAAGCCGUGGUAGACGCCGUCAUAUCACAA